GACGAACGCUGGCGGCGUGCUUAACACAUGCAAGUCGAACGGAAAGGCCCUGCUUUUGUGGGGUGCUCGAGUGGCGAACGGGUGAGUAACACGUGAGUAACCUGCCCUUGACUUUGGGAUAACUUCAGGAAACUGGGGCUAAUACCGGAUAGGAGCUCCUGCUGCAUGGUGGGGGUUGGAAAGUUUCGGCGGUUGGGGAUGGACUCGCGGCUUAUCAGCUUGUUGGUGGGGUAGUGGCUUACCAAGGCUUUGACGGGUAGCCGGCCUGAGAGGGUGACCGGCAAAAUGGGGACUGAGAUACGGCCCGGACCCUUAGGGGAGGGAGCGGGGGGGAAUAUGGCAAAAGGGGGGGAGGCCUGCUGCAGCAACGCCGGGGGGGGGAUGAGGGCCUUGGGGUUGUAAACCGUUUUCCCCUUGGACGAAGCGUGGGUGACGGUAAUGGGAAAAGAAGCACCGGCUAACUACGU
rnacentral:rRNA from 1 species